CACCAUAUUCUGAGGGCCCGCCCCCAUAUCGCCCCCUCCCCUAAGCCCCGCCCCCCCCUGUCCCCUCCCUUGCAUUGUCCUCGCACACAAACGCAGUUCGAGCCCCGUGCCUUCUGACUGUGACGGCGUCGCCACCCUCAGGGCUGCCCCUCCCCCUUUGCACUCUUCCUCCUUUUGCCCAUGCCAAGGACUCCCUUGACUCCGCCUCCUCGCCAUUCGGCGCCUUGGAAGAUCCACAGAAGCGAGCUAUCUGCCAACCAAACUGCCUCUCCCCCCCCCCCUCCCCCCACCCCCCUCCCUCCCCCCCAUGACAACAUGCAUCCGCCUCCCUGACGGCACCCGGAGCCUAUCCUGUCUUACCAGGCAUCUACCACUGUGAGGCGCUGUGAGGAGGCCGCGCGACUUAGCCCGGGAUGCCAAAAAGACAAAUCGAUGAAAACAAAAAGUAGCAGUUUGUUGUUUUUGUUGUUUUGUCCCUUCUUCUAUGCAUUUGUUCUGUGCUCACCAACACUCUUUGCUGCACUUUGAUGUUCCCUCCAUGGCGAUGAUUCUCCCUCUGGACGCCUGCCGGGUCAAGACUUGUAGCACAGGGCCGUCAAACUCGUGUCGCAGUAAAUUUAAACAUUUAUUGAAAAUAUGCAUGUGGGUAAUUACAGGGUUUGUGCGGGUCAUUAAAAGGAUUUUUUUUGCAAAAA